UGUAGACCGCAGGCAAUUUAGCUCGCGAGCAAAUGUUUGCCGUUUCUUACGAUGCCAUUUAUUAUUUCUUGCAGGAUUUUCGCUGUCUAGGUAGUGUUUGAGGUUGGGGCACGGCACGCCACAAUCGACUUUGCGUCGCGUCUUUGCGCGUUUUGGUCGUUUUGCCGCUACGGUAUUUCAAAUGUCUUUCGCGUUUUUUUUUGUUUUUUUUAAAUGCUGGCCAGCAUUUUUUCAUUCGUUUGUUUGUCGAAGGUUCGUAAAUGACGCCGCCGAUAAGCGCGUGUUUGUCUGACUAUAGGAAAUGUUAGUUCGACUAUAGUCAAUUAAACAAUUCUUUAUUCAUUUAUAUUAUGCGUGUGCCAUUUCCGUGUUAUGCAAACUGAGGAAUGUAAGUAAUUUGUUACGUCAUGUCCAAAUCAGACCAAAUCUAUUCAAAGAUAACGCCCGCCCGCCCUCGUUCCGUUACGCAACAAACAUUUGCACGGGUUAUUUUCUCCCGUUUUGGACGCCGCAAACCUGGAUCAUCUGUCCAAUGUGAGCACUAAAAAAGGCCGCCCAGCCAGCAUCCUUCUAUACAAAGCAAGCAGGAGGCUCUUGAGGAGCCAUUUCAGUGAUGUUGAGGACACUGAGGAAGAGUAGUCCUAAAUCAGGCUGCAAGAGAAGCCGAAUGGGAUGAGGAAAAGUAUCAUUCCAUAUCCAAAGGAGCGAUGGCCUAUCCAUAGGAGCGAUGGCCUAUCCAUAGGA